UGGGGAAUCUUGCGCAAUGGCCUAACGGCUGACGCAGCGACGCCGCGUGAGGGAUGACGCUCUUCGGAGUGUAAACCUCUUUUGCCCGGGACGAAUUGCCAGCAUUCGCUGGCUUGACGGUACCGGGUGAAUAAGCACCGGCUAACUCCGUGCCAGCAGCCGCGGUAAUACGGGGGGUGCGAGCGUUGUCCGGAAUCACUGGGCGUAAAGGGCGCGUAGGUGGUCUGAUAAGGGUGUGGUGAAAGCCCGGGGCUCAACCCCGGGUCGGCCGUGCCGACUGUUGGACUAGAGUGCUGUAGGGGCAGGCGGAAUUCCGGGUGUAGCGGUGGAAUGCGUAGAGAUCCGGAGGAAGACCGGUGGCGAAGGCGGCCUGCUGGGCAGUUACUGACACUGAUGCGCGACAGCGUGGGGAGCAAACAGG
rnacentral:rRNA from 1 species